GCCAUUUUGCAUGGAAGUUGAGUGCGUAAUCUCGUAUUACACUGUCAAAGAAAUAGCGCAAAAACGCAUAGAAAUCAUUCGGUCCCCAGGAUAAUUUUAGUAUCCUUAUAACCAGCAUAAAAUUCUACGCCAUAUAUGUUAAAAUAAAGAAUUCCUAUAGAAUAGGUAACGUAUGAAGGAGACCUCAACAUAGACAGGCAUUUUGCAUGGAAGUUGAGUGCGUAAUCUCGUAUUACACUGUCAGAGAAAUAGCGCAAAAACGCAUAAAAAUAAUUCGGUCCCCAGGAUAAUUUUAGUAUACUUAUAACCAGCAUAAAAUUCUACGCCAUAUAUGUUAAAAUAAAAAAUUCCUAUAGAAUAGGUAACGUAUGAAGGAGACCUCAACAUAGACAGCCAUUUUCCAUGGAAGUUGAGUGCGUAAUCUCGUAUUACACUGUCAAAGAAAUAGCGCAUAAACACAUAGAAACCAUUCGGUCUCCAGGAUAAUUUUAGUAUUGUGAUAACCAGCAUAAAAUUCUACGCCUUAUAUGUUAAAAUAAAAAAUUCCUAUAGAAUAGGUAACGUAUGAAGGGGACUUCAACAAAGACAGCCAUUUUCCAUGGAAGUUGAG
rnacentral:lncRNA from 1 species